GGAAGCGUGGCCGAGUGGUUUAAGGCAGCAGUCUUGAAAACUGCCGAUGGGGUAACCCAUCCGUGAGUUCGAAUCUCACCGCUUCCG
rnacentral:tRNA from 3 species